AGCGGGGUAGGGUAGCCAGGAUAUCCCGUCGGGCUCAUAACCCGAAGAUCGAUGGUUCAAAUCCAUCCCCCGCUA
rnacentral:tRNA from 3 species